CAGCAGCCGCGGUAAUACGGAGGGGGCUAGCGUUGUUCGGAAUUACUGGGCGUAAAGCGUACGUAGGCGGCUUUGUAAGUUAGAGGUGAAAGCCUGGUGCUCAACACCAGAACUGCCUUUAAGACUGCAUCGCUUGAACGUCGGAGAGGUGAGUGGAAUUCCGAGUGUAGAGGUGAAAUUCGUAGAUAUUCGGAAGAACACCAGUGGCGAAGGCGGCUCACUGGACGACUGUUGACGCUGAGGUACGAAAGCGUGGGGAGCAAACAGGAUUAGAUACCCCUGUAGUCCCUGUCUCUUAUAC
rnacentral:rRNA from 1 species